rnacentral:rRNA from 1 species
AUUGAACGCUGGCGGCAGGCCUAACACAUGCAAGUCGAGCGGAGCGGCUGACGGGUGAGUAAUGCCUAGGAAUCUGCCUGGUAGUGGGGGAUAACGUCCGGAAAAGGGCGCUAAUCCCGCAUCCUAUCAGAUUAGCCUAGGUCGGAUUAGCUAGUUGGGGGGGUAAAGGCCUACCAAGGCGACGAUCCGUAACUGGUCUGAGAGGAUGAGAAGUAACACUGGAACUGAGACACGGUCCAGACUCCUACGGGAGGCAGCAGUGGGGAAGAUUGCACAAUGGGCGAAAGCCUGAUGCAGCCAUGCCGCGUGUAUGAAGAAGGCCUUCGGGUUGUAAAGUACUUUCAGCGGGGAGGCGUUACCCGCAGAAGAAGCACCGGCUAACUCCGUGCCAGCAGCCGCGGUAAUUC